rnacentral:lncRNA from 1 species
CUUUAAAGCAAGAUCGUGGUCAGGAGCUUCUGUUUCUGGCAAAAUAACAGACUGGCCAUGCAGAGAACUCCUCUUGGAACAAAACACAUAAAAACACCGGAAGCAAUAUUAAUCUCAAAAGCAUUUUUUAAUGCGUGGUAGAGUUGGUGGGAAAGUAGGGAGCAUCUUUAAGGCCAGAACUAAUAUGAAAGCCAUACCAUAUUUUUGAGUUCAGGAUGUCAUCUCAAGUGGUCCCAGUGGAUAGAGCCCCACAGAGCCUGGCAAAGUAAAGCAACUCUGGAGCGAUGCACUUCGGCUGGAGCCUUCGAAGACGUCCCACUAAUAAAGUCAUACAAGUCACAGAGCCCGUCAGGAAUGGACCACCAGGAGCAAGAGGCAGCAGGCAAGGUCAAAUGCAGCCCCAGAGUCGUACAAACUGCAGACUCUCCGACUGUCAGUUACGAACUACAAAAAGGUCUUCAAAUGCUUAAGGAAACAAAAGAGGAUAGUCGAAGGAUGGCAAAGAAGCAGGAAACUAUCAUAUUUGCAGGCACAUUGGAGAAAAGGACUAAAGAGCAAUUCCAGAAAUAAAAAACUAUAAUCGAAGUUAGAAACUGAACAGGUAGGUUAAACAGCUGAGAAGACAUGUGACUAUUUGGAG